AGAUUAACCGCCCUCCACCAACAGAACAACGGCUUGGUUGCUAGGUAUCGCUAAGCGAGUGAUAUGAAACCCGUCCCGCUAUUUGCUGCACCUCUCCGCUGAUCACUGGACGUGUUUCUCUCUUUCUCCUAAUCGUUUUGAAAUCGAAGACGCAAACCUGUCAUCAUGUCUGAACGCAAAGCCGUGAUCAAGAACGCUGACAUGUCAGAAGACAUGCAGCAAGACGCAAUCGAAUGCGGCAACCAGGCGAUGGAGAAGUUCAAUCUGGAGAAGGACAUCGCCGCCCACAUCAAGAAGGAGUUCGACAAGAAGUACAACCCAACCUGGCAUUGCAUCGUCGGCCGCAACUUCGGCAGCUACGUGACGCACGAGACCAAGCAUUUCAUUUACUACUACCUCGGACAAAUCGCCGUGCUUCUAUUCAAAUCGGGAUAGAUUUCGUCUGAUAUCAAACUCUUUCUAAAUUAUAACCCCAUCCUCACAAACUGAUUCCUGUACAUCAAUCAUUUGAACCCAUCGAUGUGAAAGAGUUCUGGAACCAACAAAGUUACGAAUGUGGUAUAUUCAUCUUUGGAAGUUGGAACGUCCUUGAACUUUGAUCUGCAGCGCCCGGCCUUCUUAACUUAUCAACAUGACGGCAGUUCGACAGCGCCGACGGAACACGAUGAACCCUCGUGCCGACACUCGCUGUGUUUUUCGACAUGAUGAUGGUGCUCCCGGUUGGUGGUCAUUCCGACGCACUCCUUUGAGGUUUUCAUCACCGUCCAUCGAUGAUGACGACGAAGGAUGUGAGCGAAACGAUAAUGAGGGUGAUGACGAUGAUAGUGACGAUAGCGAUGUCAGACAAAACAUCAGAACUCAUCUGAAAAUAUCAGUUUCAUUAUUCACACAAGAGAAUGGAGAAAUCGACUUUUGAACAUGACUUCAAAAAAAAUGAACUUGAGCAAAUUUGUUAUCUGUUUGUAAUUAUCACUAGUUUAUGUACUAGUUUAACUUUAAAAAAAAAAUAUCUAGCCUGUCUAAUUAUUGUUUAAUUAGUAUUCCAGAUUAUUAUUCAUAACAUCUAUCCAUUUAUCACUCAAAAUGGAAUAUAGAAUUAAUCUAUGCAAUUUAAAUUUGUAUAUAUUCUGUACAUAUUAAAACUGAAAGAAAUUUUGAA